rnacentral:lncRNA from 12 species
AUGAUGAUGAUGAUGAUGAUGAUGAUGAUGAUGAUGAUGAUGAUAACAACGAUAAAGGCUGGUGGUGAUGAUGGUCCUUCUAACGCACUGGGACAUGAUCUAUCUGUCUCAAGGAAGGGCAUUACCAUCCUACCAAUUACUCAGAGAGGAUAUCAGGAUGUUGUCCUUGUCAAUGCAUCUAAUCAAUAACCAGGACCUGCAUUACUUCCCCAGUUCUUGAAUCCAUCCAUUUUGGUUUCUAUUCCAAUGUUACUUCCCUAAUCCAGAAUAUAAUCAUUUUUGCAAUGGAGUUCUACUUAGUAUCCUUGUUUCACCAACAAAUAUUUAUUGAAUAUAUACUGUGGGACAAGUACUUUUCAGGGCACACUGAAUACAAAAGUGAAAUACAAAGGGAUGGUGUCUCUACACUGAUAGAAUUUAUAACAUAGUGUGGGAAAUAGAUAUCAAUCAAACACUCUGACAGACUAAUGUAAAGCUGUCUCAAUAACAAGAGCACUGAAGAAGUUUCACAGUGGUGUGAGUGAGGCCCUUUGAAGAGUUUUUUUUUUUUCUUUGUUCCACUAAACUGGAAGUCAAAGAAAAUGUCUGUGAGAACUCAAAAGGGUGUUAGCAAGGGAUGCUUGAAUUUCUGAGUCAUGAACAUUGAUGAUGCAGUCCAGCGGUUUUCCAGACUUACAUUUUACUCUAUGAUAAGCUUAGUUUUCUAUAUUUAAAAAUGCACAUAAUAAAUGAGAUAUUUGAAAUAGCCUUGGAUACA